rnacentral:rRNA from 1 species
GACGAACGCUGGCGGCGUGCCUAAUACAUGCAAGUAGAACGCAGUUGCGAACGCGUGAGUAAAGCGUAGGUACAUGCCUCAUAGCGGGGGGUAAAAAUUGGAAAAGCUAGCUAUUACCGCAUACUGUGAGAUGGCACUGCGUUGUAUUAGUGAGUUGGUUGGGUAAAGGCUAACCAAGGCGACGAUACAUAGCCGACCUGAGAGGGUGAACGGCCACACUGGGACUGAGACACGGCCCAGACUCCUACGGGAGGCAGCAGUAGGGAAUCUUCGGCAAUGGACGAAAGUCUGACCGAGCAACGCCGCGUGAGUGAAGAGGGUUUUCGGAUCGUAAAGCUCUGUUGUUAGGGAAGCGGUACCUAACCAGAAAGGGACGGCUAACUACGUGCCAGCAGCCGCGGUAAUUC